AGAGAGAGGCAAACAAAGGAUUCUACUCGUGGUACAACCAAAUAAGCCACUGGGCUGAGCCGGACAAAUAUGGUCUAGGGAUUGGCCAUUUACCCAGCCAUCUGUCUCCCUUUACUAUGGUGUCCCGGGGCUCGCAGGACAAACACUUGGUGCCAAGGAUCAGGUGGUGUAGGCACAGAGGACAGGCAAAAAGACUCAAGACAGACUGACAGGUUAAUGGUGUUGUUGAGUUUAAAGAUGAGGAAUUUGUGAAGAAAGCAAUUGAGGUCAUGAACAAACACGAUCUGAAUGGCAGACCGCUCAAUAUCAAAGAGGAUCCUGAUGGUGAGCACGCUUGGCCGGUGCUGCAGCGCUGUUCCCGGGAGGACGGGGUGGAGAAGGCGGUCCAGGAAUGAUGAACCUGCCUCCUGCCAUCGCCAACAAUCCCAACAUCCCACCUGAGAUCAUAAAUGGCCUUCAGGGGGUUGGUGUAAGAUUAGAAUCAGAACGGAUGCUAGUUGAAGCUCAGAGUGGACUGAAAUAAUCCUAAAGUGGAGCCUCGCCACCCUCACAGACCUGCCCCAGUCCCCAGGGUGAGGGAGAAACCAGGAUCCAGUAUUGACCCUAUUUUUGGGCCUCAAUGCAGCCGGACAGACCAAUCCAUCUUAUCGACCAUUUCCACUGCAGAGACAUGGCAGCAGCCCCAGUACCUGGGCCAAGUAGGAGCCAUUUACAGUCCCUGCAAUGGUAACAUUU
rnacentral:lncRNA from 1 species